rnacentral:snRNA from 1 species
GAGCCCUGUUCACCAGCACAUACACAAAAUUUGGAACAAUACAGAGGUGAUUGGCAUGGCCCCGUGCAGAAAUGACAUGCAAAAGUUUUUGGAAUGUUUUGUAUCUUA